UCCUCUAACCUCUCACCAUUUUCUGAAUCAUCAAAAACCUCUCACUCUCUCUCCUCCAUUGAUGUCACUCCGUCUCUCUCCUCCCAAACAAUCCAGCCUCCUCCCCUCCACUUUUCGUCGUCGCCGUCGAUUUUCUCUAGCUACGACCAAACAACCGCGCCACCGCCUUCUCCGCCACCGACGCUAACGCCUUCUCCGAACAUCGACGAACGCUUCUCCGAACGUCGUCGCUAACGCCAAAGAAACCUGACCUAAAAAUAGUUAGCCGACAGUUAAAGGCCUUGGAAAUGAUGAACUCUACGAAAGUAAUCUAGCUUCUGUGUGUAAGUUGUAAAGGAAGAAAAAGUUCAAUAAGAAUGCGACAACAAAAGAAGAAGGCUGAUUUAGAAAUGGAAGAUAUGGUAUUAAGAGAGGCUGUAAGAAUUGAAGGCAGGAGCAACCAAAAAAGAAUCUACAAAUAAGUAAGAAAAAGAAAGAGAAUAGAGAUCGUUGUGGCGAAAAAAGUGGAAGCCGAAAGGAAGGAAGCUGAAAAAUUAGAAGCCUAGAAAGAGAAGAGGCAACAACCACUAAAAUAGAGGAUGGAGAUAGAAAAUAAAUGUCAUGUUCAUUUUCUGAACAUGAAUGUUCAUUAAAUUACUUUAAAUGUCCAUUUUUUUGUUCCUUAUGUGUGCUUCCAGCUUACUAAAAUAAUGAGAUGUUUUUUUUUCUGGAAAACAUGUGUAAUAAAAAAUUUAAUUUUCUUUUUUUAAAAUAAAGGAAACAUAAUAAUGCA